rnacentral:rRNA from 1 species
AGUGAACGCUGGCGGUAGGCCUAACACAUGCAAGUCGAACGGCAGCACAGUAAGAGCUUGCUCUUACGGGUGGCGAGUGGCGGACGGGUGAGGAAUACAUCGGAAUCUACUUUUUCGUGGGGGAUAACGUAGGGAAACUUACGCUAAUACCGCAUACGACCUACGGGUGAAAGCAGGGGAUCUUCGGACCUUGCGCGAUUGAAUGAGCCGAUGUCGGAUUAGCUAGUUGGCGGGGUAAAGGCCCACCAAGGCGACGAUCCGUAGCUGGUCUGAGAGGAUGAUCAGCCACACUGGAACUGAGACACGGUCCAGACUCCUACGGGAGGCAGCAGUGGGGAAUAUUGGACAAUGGGCGCAAGCCUGAUCCAGCCAUACCGCGUGGGUGAAGAAGCCUUCGGGUUGUAAAGCCCUUUUGUUGGGAAAGAAAAGCAGCAGGUUAAUACCCCGCUGUUCUGACGGUACCCAAAGAAUAAGCACCGGCUAACUUCGUG